GGCGCGCGGGGACGGCCUGCGUCGGCUCUGAGGGCCCCCGCGUGCGGCGUCAUGGCGCGCCUGCUUCGUGCGCUCUGGGGUUCGCCCUUUCGAGGGGCGCCCUUGCGGGCCGUGGGGGGCCCAGCGGGCAGAGGCGGCGCGGGGGCCGGUCCCGAGGACGCAGGGUCUCUCCCAAAGCAUGGGCCGUCUCUCACCAAGAGUGAAUGGCAAAAGAAGCUGACUCCAGAGCAGUUCUAUGUUACGAGAGAAAAAGGAACCGAAGCGCCUUUCAGUGGGGUCUAUCUGAAUAACAAGGAAUCAGGAAUGUAUCACUGUGUGUGCUGUGACAGCCCACUCUUCAGCAGCUGCAGGCUGGUGAAUGUCUUCCACAGUUCCGAGAAAAAGUACUGCUCCGGCACCGGGUGGCCUGCCUUUUCGGAGGCGCACAGGGCGUCUGGCUCUGAUGAAAGGGACACGGGCAUCCUGAGACGUGUGGACACCUCAUUAGGAUUAACUCGCACCGAGGUUAUCUGCAAGCAGGUAAAUACCCAGAAGUGGAAUUACUGGAUUAUAUGAUAUUUCCAUUUUUAACUUUUGAGGAACUCCCAUACUGAUUGAUUUCCAUAGUGGCUGCACCAAUUUACGUUCCUUCCAACAGUGCAGAAGUGUUCCUUUUCCUCCACAUCCUCCCCAACGCUUGUCUUUUUGAUACCAGCCAUUCUGACCGGUGUGAGGGCCGCUUGAUUGAGUUCACAGUCUCAGGCACGGCUUUGCUCAGGAGGCUCGCCUUGCCCAAUCCAAGCUGCUGGAAUCACCCGAGGCAUCUUAAAUGUUGGGAGACAGCGCCCCGUGCUCCCAAAUCUAUUAGCGCGUCAGUCACUUUAGAACCGAACUUGAUGCCUUUUCCAGAGAAUAUGCUUCUAGGGGUCACCAGGGCUCCCCUUGAGCCCUCCCACCCCCACCCUGGAGCCUGGCUUCGCCCACAGAUGCUAGUCCGGCGGGGUCAGUCCCAGAGUAACAGACUCCCAGCACCAAGCCCUGCUACACAAAGAAGAGAACGAAAAGUCGCUGGGUCCAACCCCCAGUGGAUUUUUACAGAUAAACAACCCGAAUCCCAGCGAGACUAAACUACCUCGUGAUGGCCGUGGCACCCAAGGUUCCUGAACCUCAUGCCAGUCGCCCCCCCGCCCCGGGGGUGGUCUUUAUGGGUGGAAAUUGGCUUAGGUGGUUUCUCUUGUGGAAAAAGCAAGGUGUGCGCUUUGCACAACAGUUCGCGUGUGAUCCUGAUUUCAGGCAGCGGAAUAGACUUGAGGACUUCUCAAGGCCAAGGUCAGGCCCAAGAGUCUGAGAGCUGCAGAAAAUAUGGUAGAGCUCUGUAUAAGUGGGUGGUCAUCCUGCAUGGCCUCCUUGCCCGCCCUCCGCAACCUUCCCGGAGCCCGCACACCAAGGCCUGCAGCAGGGCCAGCCCUUGCUGAGGGGGAGAGGCGCCACCUCCCUGGUCAGGGGGCACCGGCUCUCACACCCCCAUGGGCAGCUGAUGCUGUGAUUUUGCAGCCUGGGUCCCUCUCUUGUCCCUGCAAGUACUCCAACGGGUGUAGGACCGGGGGAUGCCAAUGGCAAGGACCAGGGUGACCUGGGCAGGGGACUGACACUGAGAAGAGUCAGCAAGACACAGGUGCAGCAGAGAAGAAACAUCCCCAACAGGAGCUAAGCCAUUGCACCUGGGCCCGGAGUCUGGGUCAGGAAUGGAAAGGAGGGUCCCUUUGUAGAGCCCCUUGGGUGACCAUUUCCACCUUACCUAAGACAUCCGUCAUCCCUGGAGCCUAGGCUCAGCUGUCAUUCCAGGAUCAGAAUAAUGACUGCAUGGUAAGAACCCUCCCUAGGGCCUCCUCCCUCAGGCAAUUCAGAAGCAGGCAGGACUGGGAGGAACAGACAGAGGGUCCCCCAUUGCCAACAUGCAUUGAGACCUGGUUACCACGUGACCCUCUACAGAAUAUCUUCAGUGGGCCGGUGAGGCCUAGACUAAACUCGGUUCAGCGACACUUGCAGAAUGUCCGAGCUAAGCUUCAAAGGGCUUUGCCAUUAACAGCAAGCCCCCAGAGCCCAGGGACCCCCCCCAACCACCAGAGAUCAGGAUGCACUUACCAAAAGUGGCUCGGGCUCAUUCUAAAACUAACAGGUUGAUAGUUUAUGACACAGAAUAACCAAUUAAUGAAAAUGAUAGUAAAAAUAAACAGUAAAAAAAAAAAAUCAACCUUUUAUAAGCCUUUAAGCAUUUUUUCACUUCUGUGAUUUUUUUUUUUUGAAAUGUAGGAGUGCUUGCAUGAGAAUUGCAAUAUUUAUGAGUCCUAGGACUAUUUUAUGAAUUUAUGUACUUUUUUUUUCUUUAGGAAAUUGAUUCCAAAGUGGGGCAUUUUUUCCUAAUUCAUUUCAAUCAGUAUGCUUACUCUUGCUUGCUUAACAAUGCUUUUCUGUGAAUUUAAAAUCUCCUCUUCGGUUCUAGGUAAAUCUCUGAAAGGCUAUUGAUCAAAACUAAUCUUUCAUAUCACUAGUCUUUGUAUUGUUAAUGUGUGUGCGCUCCAGGAUUACUUGUGUGUAAAUGCAUCCUCAAGUAAUAUUGUCCACUCCCUCAGUUAUUUUGCUUUUUAAACUGAUAGGAGUUAGUUUUCAGUGAGGAAUUCCUGCUUCACUGUUCCAAGUAAGAGUCCCCGAAUUGUGCGUUCUGCCUGAGUGCCGGCGAGAUGGAAGGUCAUGGCCGCAGGAGGGUACAUCAGGCGCUAAGAAGAUGCUGCGGGUGUAACUCAUGUUCCCGUACCUGCCUGCACUCCAGGGUGUGUGUUUAUAGAGCAGAGGACAGCCUCCGUUCUGCUUCUGGCCCCUGGGGGAGGGCCGGGGGGCUUCCACCAUCCGAGGAAGGAACCCUUUUCAUGAACAUCUCUAUAAGGUUCUAGAGAAGCGGCCGGAGCUCUUCAGGAGAGUCUUGAGGAGAAUGGUGCACGAUGGGGGGCAGAGGGCGGGAGAGGGGUUAGCACAGUGGUGGGGGCAGCCAUUUUCCCGGCCUCUUCAGAGACAUCCGAGCGGUGUCCUGCUACCUCCAGGGACCGUGGCCCUGCUGUGGUCAGCGCUGAUGUCCUCCCAGCCAGCACCCACCAGCAGCAGGGAUGCCUCAUGGCCGCCAGCAGGAGCUACAUGCAGGCCAGAGAGAGGGGCCAGCAACCUGCUGUGGUGACUGCAGCUAAUAGCCUGCUUGGUGCUGCCUUCAAGGCCCCCUGUGGAGACUCCCCCAUGAGUCUCCCCCAUGAGACAUGAGGAUUGCUAUGUCCCCUUUAAAGUAUGUUUAGGGAACCUCAAACUAUGGUAAUCUGGGCAUUAAAAAUGAAUGGGGGGGUGCCUGGGUGGGUCAGUUGGUUAAGCAUCUGACUCUUGGUUUCGGCUCAGGCAGGUCACGAUGUCAGAGUUGUGACAUUGAGCCCUGCAUCAGGCUCCAUGCUUGCCCGCUUAAGUUUCUCUCUCUCCCUCUCCCUCUGCCCUCCACCACCGCUCUCUCUCCCUCUAAAAAAAAAAAAAAAAAUAGAUGGUACUUCAUAUUGUAGCCACAGGCUAGUGAAGCCUGGAUGUACCCCGUGUACCUAUGAUGAUUAUAAUGCUAAAUUAAAGAGGUUAGCCAGACUAAACAUUUCUUCCCUCUUUAUCCUAAUUUUGAUAGUAAAUACUGACAUUAAAAAAUUCAGUUAGGGGUUCUUGGGUGGCUCAGUCAGUUGAGUGCCUGCCUUCAACUCAGGUCAUGAUCCCGGGGUCCUGGGAUCAAGCCCUGCAUCGGGCUCCCUGCUCAGCAGGGGUCUGCCUCUCCCUCUCCUUCUGUGCUCACUCUCUCUCUCAAGUAAAUAAACAAAAUCUCAAAAAAAAAUUAAUUCAAUUAAAACUUCACUGAGAUUUUCUCACCUAUGAAAUCGGCAAAAGUCCAAAAAUUUGCGGACAUUCUCUGUUGGUGAGACUAUGGAGAAACAGGUCUCAUGAUACAGAAUGGCACGACCAAUUUAAGGGCAAUUUGACAAUAUCUACCGGAAAACCUACACCCACCCUUUGACCUGGCAAUGUCACUCCUAGGAAUUGAUCCCAAAGAUACAUUGGCAAGACUACGCAAUGGUAUUCACUACAGCACUGUUAGUGAGACCAAGACUGGAAACGAUCCAAAUGUUCUUCAGUAGGCUGAUGGUUGAAUAAACUAUGCUUGGGCACACAGUGGAGUAUUAUCCAAUUAUAAAAAGAAAUGAAGAAUAUCUCUAUAUGCUAUUCUGGAGCGAUCUUCAGGAUAUAGUAAGUGAAAAAAAUCACAGUGGAGAAAAAUGUGGGUAGUAUCCUACUAUUCAUCUAAAAAAGAGGGAGACUUCUCCAAAUAAGCCCUCCUUUGUAGAUUUGCAUUGGAAACCAUUAUAAUAUUUUACAUAAUUUUAAAACAAAUUAAAUUUAAAAAAGCAAUCCCCAGGGGCACCUGGGUGGCUCAGUCAGUUAAGCGUCUGACUCUUGAU